rfam:Ogataea parapolymorpha DL-1 chromosome VII, whole genome shotgun sequence.
GGUGCAUUAGCUCAGAGGUCAAGAGCAUCGUGCUUAUAGUCGGUCAGACGUCUAUACUAACGUCACACAUCGUUUCAUUACGAAGUUACGCGAUGGUCGCGGGUUCAAACCCCGCAUGCACCA